ACCCGUCUAGAUCAGUCGGUAGAGCGCUGGCCUUUUAAGCCAGUGGUCGUGGGUUCGAGCCCCACGGGGGGUG
rnacentral:tRNA from 2 species